AAAAUGUCUUCCAUACAUUUUCCACUUGUUCAAAUGUAGAUACACAAAAUUUACUGUGAAUUGCCAUAGAAACGAAAUUAUAUGUAGCCAGGGACAUUUGUUUGUAGAAAUAAGAGACAGCAUUAAUUAUUCUUUGGCCUUCCCUGUCAAAAUGUUGAUUGUGUGUGAAAUCUAGAAAGCGGGAUACUCUGUGUAUUCUUUUUAUCACCUUUUUUAAUCAUAUAUUUCUGAUGAGAAACCCAUUGUAAAGUCAUGACAGGACAUUGUGUGUGCCAGCAGACUUGCUAUCAAUUGUACUUCCUGCACAUACAGAGGGAGUGUCAAGAUCAAAUUCUGUCAGGGAUUUGUUACCUAGUAUGGUGGCACGUAUUAAUGAGAUUCCAGCCUGUGCCAUAUAGAGCCUUAGUAGUGUCUACUUAAGUUAUUUGGCUGAUGUCCAUUAGGUACAACCUGGCACACAUCAGUCCUCAAUCCAAAGCUGUGCAUCAGAGAUAAAAAGUGCAUUUGGGGAAAUGUGUAUGCGUGUCCUUAAACCAAAUCUGAUUUGCCCCAUUUGAUGCUUGUUACACUUUCACUGUACAUUCCUUAUUUUUUAUGAAAAUAGCUUUUCAGAUUAUGCAGAUUUGCUGGGACACUUAGCAUAUUCAUUUAUGACCCCAUUUCAUCCAGUUGCCAGGAAAUUCUCACGGUCACUGGCCUCUCGGGAUCAAGAGGAUCAACGAGAAAUGUUGCAAUGCUGUGUUUUAUUUUGGCUUCUCCAGUAUCUUGUUUGUUGUCCUCAUGUAGAGUAAAUGUAUCUGAUUUCUCUGUCCGUUUUUGUUUUUUCACAGGUUUACCUUUUGGCUGGGAUGAGGCGUUCACUCCAGAUGGAGUGAAGUACUAUGUAAAUCAUGUGACUCAGACAACAUCAUGGACUCAUCCUGUCAUGAGAUCUUUGGGUCUGUCAGAACCAGAAGCAAGUGACCAAACCCUGAACUCUCCAGAAUCCACAGCCUAGACUGAAUCCGAAGACUGUGUGCACUCUUCUGCCACUUUCUGCCCAACUGUUCGGUUAAAAAAAAAUGAAAAGCAACACAGCAGCAUAUAAACAUUAAGUGAUGUGCAUUAUAAAAAAGACAAUCAGAAAAAACAUCUCAUUCAUUAAAUGAAAAUCUAUACACUCUCAGGAAAAAGUACCAAACUGUCACUGGGCUGGUAACCUUUCAAAAGUACUAAUAUGUACACUUUAUGCACUAAUAUGUACCUUUAUAGUACUAAUAUGCUGUACUAAUUAUGUACCUUUAGGCAUAAAAAGAAAAAUGGAAAAUAAUAAAUAAGGUAAAUAGGGGUAAGUAAGAUACAAUCAUGUACAUUUAGCUUAGGGUACUGCCCCAGUGACAACUUUUCUUUUCUUUCUUUUAUUCUGAGAGUGUGCACCUGAUAUUGAAAUAUGCAGAAAAUAUAUCCCAAAUAUGCCAGCUCUUUGAUGGGUUAAGAUCUCACAUUUGAGUUUUCCCCAUUUUUGUGUCUGUCCACUGUUUUUCUGACAUUUUAGGCAUUUCCCCUCAUGUAACACUAAUAUCUUGUUUUCUUGUACCUUGAGAAAAACAAUGGACAGUCCCAAUCUGUUUUCCGACUUUCAGAAAAAGUCAAACAUAAUUGCACUUGUUUGAAGUCAAAGGACGUGGCCUGUUUGGUGAAGCAGGAACUUUGGAAGAGUAAAUCAGGAUGGACUGCUUCUGUGAUGUUCAUUCAGUUUGGCUUGUUUUUGCUGCCACUUUGAUCCAUUUUCUGAAACUUUUGUUCACAGAUUUAUUGAAACAGGAAUUUGUUUACUUUUUCAAACUUCCUCGAACCAGCUCUACGCUGUGAGAGCGAAACAUUUCUUUGGUUCACUAUAAUGUAAUUGUUCAACUUCUCCAUAUAAAGACACAUUUUUAAUUCUGCUGUUAUCCUUAGUGGGCAUUCUAGCCAUUAUGCAUAACUGUGAAAGUGUCUUCUCUUGCAUGUGCAAUUAGUUCUGCGCUUUCAGUAGAAAUGUGAGUUUAACAUACCCUAAGCCUUAUGUGUAUAAUUUCUUGGAAAAUGACAUAACGUGGCACAUUUGCUUUGUUGUGAAUUCACUCUGCCUAACAGCAUAAAGUUAGCCUGAGAGACCUAGAUCAUGAAUAUAUAUGUUUUUCCUGUAAUGUGUUAAUACUUUUGUGGUUCUGUUAAAGAUCAACUAAUAAAAAUCCAUGCACACUUUUGCUUUUUGAAAAGAUUAUUAGCUGGGUCUGUCUAUUUCAGGCUGAGUGUGCACUUCACACCCUAGGCAAGAAGUAUUGAUUUUUUUUUUUCUCCAUAGCAGGUACUGUUAUAUAUAUAUACAGUAUAGAUGAAUCUAAGGAAUUUUAAAUCACAUAAAUGUUUAUAUGCUUGCCAGCCUUGCAUCUAAUAGAAAAACAGUCCCUUCAAGAAAAAAGAAAAAAAAAAUUUUUUUUAAUUAACUAUAAAUGAUUAACUAUUUCACUAAUCUAAAUACUAAACACUGAACUAAUUAAUAUGCUAUUCAGUUGAAGUUUAUUGAAUGAAAACCAUAAAGAAAAAUAUAUUGGGAAAACAUUAA
rnacentral:lncRNA from 1 species